AAACCAAAACCCGAUGAAAAAAAAAAAAAACUCUCUUCCCCUUAAACGCAAACACAGUAACGCAAACUCAUCAAACUCCCUCUCUUCUUCUUCACACAGUCCCAUCUCCAUCUUCAAACGCACAAUUUCCUCCAUGCCUCUCUCUACAUACACGUUCCCCUGCCUCCAAUCUUUGUCCCUUCUCUACCUUCAAACCCCUAAACUAUAGUCCGCAGGCGCCAGCCACCCACUCCUUUAGUGGCAGAAAGUUUUUGAUUUUGACACUUUACCAUCUGACCAGAUUCUCUCCGCAAACAUUACCGACACAUCUAAGAAUUUGGAAGCCCAUUUUGAAGAAUGCUAGCACUCUAGCAGAGAAGUUCUCCAUGGAAGUCACACAAGAUCUAUGUUUAUUUGUACUCCCUCAAAUAGCACCAUAAUUAGGUGGGAUAAUAAAUUUGUGCUGUCCUACUAGGCAAGAAGCAAAGGCAACCAUGAGCUUUCAAAGGGUGAUUGGAGAUGAUAAUUUAAAUGGAAGUUUUAGCUAGAUGACAUGACUAACAAUUCCUAUUAAGAAGAGUAUUUAGUAAACCGUAUAUCAAUGAUAUGUUAUCAAUGACUAAGUUUGGUUAUAUAUAUAGCAAAAAAUUGUAAAAGAGUCAUGAAGGUAAAAUUGAAAAGCUACAUACUAAUGCUUUUGUAAUUACUCAUUUGAAAUUCAAACUGGUUUCAAAAAUAUAGUUUGUGGUUUAGAGCAUUUUCUGUUUUCACUAAUUGUGUUUUGUUUCCAUGUACCUGUUUUUAAAAUACAUGUAAAUUUGGUCAAAUAUUAAUUUUUAUGCCUUACAGGGAGGGGUACAU